GACGCAUUGUAUUAUUGGAUCCUCCUGAAACCACACAGUCUGUCACAAUUAAUGAUGAUGAAGAGACCACAUCUGCUGUGACUGAAUUAGAAAGUGCUGGGAGACCCACAGAGAAUCUAGCUGGGGAUGUACAUGCAGAUGAGGGUCCAUCUACCUCUACACAUAAUCUUAGCAGUGUAAGAACUUGUCCCUGGUUGUCCUUAUUUACAUAAUGUUACUAUG